rnacentral:piRNA from 1 species
UCCAAGAUACAAGAUACAAUUUGCAAA